UGAUGAUAAUGAGGUCAAUUUCUAAGCAUGCCCUUAAAUCUCUCCUAAACUUGGUAAAGAUUUUCUCCUUCUUUUUACCUAAAACUCAGAAUCUCGCUUCUUAAUCA
rfam:Capsicum annuum cultivar Zunla-1 chromosome 11, whole genome shotgun sequence